rnacentral:lncRNA from 1 species
CUGAGAAUCAUCAAAACUGCCCAAUGUCCUAUCAUGUUAUUUUUGAAUGAGUUCAUUAAACUGCUGACAGAUCUUCAACUGAAAUUAACUCAACCUUUUAUACUAACUUAACAUGAAGUUAAUUCACUUUUCAAAGCUCGUAUUCAUUUGAAAUAGAAUGACUAACAGUACAACUAAUUUCAAUAGUCCUGUAUACAACCUGAUUUUCGACCUUAGUUAUGCAAUCCAAAUAUUACAGUAAUAAUGCUAGUCAGUCCCAAUUAUACAGUCCAAAAAUCCAUUAUCAUGAUGACAUUUAACUACAAAUAAUGAAGUGAAGCUAGGCUAAAUUGAAACUACAUCAACUAACAGAUAAUAUGAAAACUAACUUCAUGAUCUAGUUUGAAUGAAAACAGAACAAAGAAGACAAUGAAUAAGGAAAACAUCAUGCUUCCAAUUCACAUAUAUUCAUUUCUGCAUACAUCCAGCUCACAGUUGUCAUGGAUACAGUUUGUGUACCUGGAAUUUGAAGUUAAGCAGACGGAGAAGAAGUCAGCAAUAGCAAGGUAGUCAGCAGCAAAUGAAUCUCCAGAAAUAAACACAGUCAGUUUUAAUUUCGAAAACCGAAUCAGUGGUCCAGGAAGUUUGAACCAAACAGGACUAGGAAAUUAGACCCUAAGCAGUACCAAAAUGAAUCAAAUAGACUUGAAGUCAAACCCAAACCACACUAAAAUCUUUCAGCAAUCCAAGCUCAAUCAAAACCAGUUUAGUUGGACCCAAAACCUCUAGAAAAUUAGCCCAGUGAACAUCUAAAGAUACAUCAACCCAGUACUGAAUUAGAAAAGGGGAAAUACUAAUUGCAAGUUGAAAUUAGCCUAAAGUAUCUAAUGGAACAGUACAUUUUGGUUUUUGUUGGAGAGUUUUUGUUGUUUAUUUAAUUUUUGUAUGUAUUUUUUUUUUUGUAUUUUCUGUGUAUAUGAAUGCUGAAAAUAAUCUAAGACUAGAAUGAAAGAAGAAAUCCAAUUUUCAUAUGAAAUUUUUAGGCUGAAAAAUGGAAUCCUUUUCACAAGGCAAUGGAUGCCUUUUUAUAGGCAAGAAUGAGGGCAACCCUCGGGUUUUUACUCCGUUUUUGUUGUUUUUAAAUUUUUUGUAUGUAUUUAUUUUUGUAUUUUCUAUGUAUCUGAAUGCUGAAGCUAGUCUAAGACUAGAAUGAAAGAAGAAAUCCAAUUUUCUUAUGAAUUUUUUAGGCUGUGAAUGGAAUCCUUUUCACAAGGCAAUGGAUGCCUUUUUAUAGGCAAGAAUGAGGGCAACCCUCAAAUCAUUACUUUUCCUUUUAGCCCCUGUUCAUUUUUCCCUGUAAACCUUAAUUUUCUAACUUGCUCCUCAAGUUACUCCCUAGGUAUUAAUGAAAUUACACAAAAGUCCUAUUCUAAGAGCUUUUCUGAUGCUCUUUUAACCUCAAAAUACCCCUACUACCCUUAAACCUUUCUUGCAAUUACUAAUUCUUAAUAUAUUACCCUUUUCCAUGCCCAAACUACCCUUGCCAAAUCUUAAAAUUACUGCAGCCCUGUCCCCUUUGACCUUUGUCCAAUUUAACCUUGUUAACCUCCCAGAAGUACUAAACCCUUAAUCACUAGAAUUAACUAACAGCUAUAACCAAUCAGAAUUACUCUAAAUAUUAGCCAAACAAUUAACAAAAAUCCAACUAGAAUAAAUCCCAACCAUUCCCAAGCAUUGCAUGAGCAUAACUCAAAACAAUCCUAAUUAACACUACUGAUUAACCAUCUAAGAAUUUUCAGCAACCAAGAAAGCAAGAAAUUAAUAACCAGGAAAACCAAAACAGAAUCAAAACUAUCAGGAUGAAACUCAGAUGCAAGAAGAAAGCCUGAAUGCAAUUAACCACAAAACUUCAAUUAACCCCAGAUUAAUUUGCAUGCAGACUACUUACUGAUUACUAAUCAAACUUAAACUACAGUUAAUCGAAUUGACUAAACAAAACAAACCAAAGCCAAAUCAAUAGAUACUAACCAAGCAACAAGUGAUAUAUGCAUGAUUAGGCUAACCUAUUCUAAACAGAAAUUGAAAAUAGAAAUAAGAUGACUUACCAUGUAGAUCAACUGAAAUAGAAACAAUCCCCGAACAAGCCAGACCAGACGACCUAGAUGUGUAAUUGAGGGUGGUCCAGUGAGAGUCGAGGGCUUCUGGCUUGGGAUUCCAGGUAAGCGAGCCAUGGGAAAUAUGGGGUGUGAAUUUAAGUCGAUUUGGAUGAAGUUGUAUUUUGACCGGAGUUUUCGAAUUAAGAUUCGACCACUUGAUGAUGAUUCGAAGAAAAUGGUUAGUAUGGUUGGAAAUAGGAGAGUAGGGAGAGUGGGUGGUGUUAGUUUGGUGAUGAUUGGAAGCGGCGCAGCCACCCUAGGGCGGUGGGAUUUGGUGGCGGCAGUCUCUUGGGUUUUGAGAGAGGAGUGGGGUGUGAGGACGAUGACUAAACGGGGUGGAGGGAUUUUUCGGACAGUCAAAUACAAGAUAUCCUAGGAUGAUCUUGAUCAUUGGAUUAGCGAUAAACGGCUGAGAUUAUCUCAACAAAACGGCGUCAUUUGGACUUUAAAGAAUUGGACCGAGCAGGGUCUUGGUCUGGAAUGGGGCGCUGGGCAUCAUUUAUUUGGCUCGUUUUUAACUCAAACGUAUUAACCCAAAUUGGCAGCCCUCUCUUUUCUCCUUUUUCAUUUCUCUUUUUUUCAAUUGCUUUUUUUUUUCAAUUAUUUCUUUUAAACAAAUUUCGUGUUUUUUUAAUUUAUAACUUUUUCUUUUCUCUGAUUUUAUAAAAUUGAAACUAAAAUCCUAAUAUUCUUAAACUAAGCCAAAUAAUUUCUAAAAUUAUUGUAAAAUAUAUUUUGUGACAAAUUCCAGAUAAAAAUGACUAAAAUGUAAGAUGAACUAAUUUUUGAUUUUUCAUAUUUUGUGCUAAUAUAAAUUAAAUUUUAAUUAAUGCUAAAAUAUGAAAUUAAAUCCUAAAUGCAAAUGGGUAUUUUUUGUAUUUUUGGUAUUGAUUAACAUGCAUAAAUAAAAUGCAACAAUUACCAGAAAAUGACACAAAAAAUGCACAAAAAAUUGUAAAAAUAAAGAAAAAAUCAUUUGUUUGAUUUUUUAUGGGAAUAAUUCAUAAAAAUAUGGCAAAAAUCACGUACUCACAGCUGCCCCUCUUUUCUUGGAAACAUGAAAUAUUUCGGGCAAAUAUAAGUGAGCAAAUACGAGCGAUAUUUGCCCGUUUGAAUAUUCUUUUGGGAAGCGUUUUGAAAAGUUUUAACCGCACCCUGCUUCAGAGGUUGCCUACAUAUCCUGGGGUAAACAAGAAUCAGGUCAGUGUAGUUUGGGUGUGUUUGGUAGCUGGGACUACCAGGAGCUGUGAUUUCACUGCGAUUGCUGCUGCUACUGUUUGCUGACUUCCCCUAUUACAUAAUGUAAAAGAUAAAAAGAAGCUAGCCCAAGCUAUGAACUAUGAAUUACAAAAGUCCUAUCUAAAAAUCUUCAAAUUUUAUCUUGCACUUCCUUGUUGUCUUGUAUUCACUCUUGUUGCCUUUUUUGCCUUAUGUUUUCUUUGGUGAAACUCAUUGUUGUUACUUCAAAUCGUGCACCGAGAUGUUGUUCUUUCCCUCCAAAUUGCCAAACUUGAAUAAAACUGAACUUGAAUGUAUUCAUCUGUUCUUCAGGCGGGCUCUUGACUUCACAAAAAUAGACAAAAACAAAGAAAUCUUUCAGCCCCAGUUUGGAAAACUGGGUGCUUAUUACCAUAUAUUAUUAAAAUUGAAAACUAAAACUUGAAUUUUGAUAAUACUGAAAUACGACUUUAAAAAAUGAAAUGUACCUUAAAAUUUGAAAUUUAUCUUAAGUGAAAAAUUGAUUAGGCCAAGAUUUUCAUUUUAGGAGAAAGAUUCAACAGACUAAGACUUUCCAUUUUUGAUCUUAGGUGACAAAUUCAUUAGACUAAGACUUUUCCAUAUUUGAUCUUAGGUGAAAAAUUCAUCAGGCUAAGAUUUUCAUCUUAGGAGAAAGAUUCAACAGACUAAGACUUUUUCAUUAUCUUAGGUGAAAAAUUCAUCAGACUAAGAUUUUCAUCUUAGGUGAAAGAUUCAACAGAAUAAGAUUUCUGACUCUAUGAGAUGAAUCAUCAGACUAGGUCCACUAUUGCGACUUCAGACUUUCUUAAUUUUCCAAAUUCCAACUUCCUUUCUUUUCAAAUUCUGCCUUCCCUUCUUGUUCCCAAAUUACGCCUUCCUUUAUUUAUCCGACUUCUGCUUUACCCUUCUUUUCCCAACUUAUGCCUUCAUUCCCACAUUAUGCCUUCUUCUUUUUUCCCAACUUCUGCCUUUCUUCCCAAAUUAUGCCUUUCUUUCUUUUGCCAUAUUUUGCCUUUAUUUUUGGUGAAAGAUUCAUCAGACUAAGAUUUUUAUCUUAGGUGAAAAAUUCAUAGGACUAAGAUUUUCUUCCUUCAUCUUAGAUGAAAGAUUCAUCAUACUAAGAUUUCUCUAUCUUAGGUGAAAAUUUCAUCAAACUAAGAUUUUAUCUCAACCAUUUUCCUCCAAAAAUUAUUUUAUCUACCUUCUAACUUGAAUUACCUUUCUUCAGAACUGCUUCCCGAAAAACUGGUGCUUCAUUCCUCCGAAAAUUACUUUUCUUAAAACUGGCGUUUCUUUCUUGAAAACUACUUCCCUCUUCUUUUUAAACUUUUAUUGACCUUUAUGAUCUUCAAAUGUGUACCCGACUUCAAGAAAAUUUAAAAACGAUAGAAAAUUUUAUGCCCCGGUAUAUCUUUCUGCCAUCAAUAACAUUUUCCUAUUUCAAAUCAAAGAAACUUUUGUUAGUUUAAAGUGUGGUGGCUGGUUGUGGUACUUUCGUUGGAGAUGGCAUUCCUUUUUCUUUCCAUGCUAUGCGUUGUCCGAUAAUCGUUGGAACUUGGCUAAUGACUUCCAACUUUCUUGGCGCCUCUUUAUUCACAAUCUUCACAUUUACCCUUCGUGUCGGCUAUGAAUCCCAAAGCACGUCUGUUGCCCCCACAGGAUGUUGUUCUUUCCUGGCUUAUCUGAUGGCCUUUGCCCUGAGGUUUGUCGCUCCCUUACUUGUCAUGAUAACGUCCUUUUCAUUUGAAGACCCCGCUUGUUUCUUGUCUAUCCACUUCCUUUGCCAUCUUUGGCACCGAACAAUACCUCUUCUAUGUUGUUCUUCCAAAUUGAAGCCCCUGGCCCUUACCCUUGAAAUUUGUUGCUCUUCCGCUCGACUCUUGUCACAAAAAAUAUUCAUUAUUCAAUAAAACCCACUACCCCUUUUCUUUUGGAUUUGCUCAAGAAUUGCCGUCUAUCAAGCCUUUAUGUUUCACCAGGAUCCCCCAAUGCAUAUUGGUUAUUACCAGCUCAGUGCUCUUAUUGUUUUCUUGACUUGUGACACUUUCAUACGCAAGCCAAACUCUAUUUUGUGCAAUUGGAAAGCUGCUGGAAAAUUUUGAAGUCAUUUCUCACUUGUUAUAACCAAACAGACUCAUAGAGAGGUAGUGAACGAAACAGAGGAACGGAGUGAAGGAAAAAGGAAAGAGAAGAAUCCUAAAGAGAAAACCUAUUUAAUGUGGAUACCAACUCCAAUGACCAUGACAUGCUCGUGUUCAGCUCUUGUUGUACCUUUUCUCCGUGAAACUAGUCUUCAAUGCUCUGCUUACCUGAGUUGAUUCUCAUUCCUUAUUCGACUUGUAGUGCCCGAAGGGUUUUCACCAUCAAGCCUCUCUCAUUUGUUCUUUGUCUUCACUUACUGUCGCCUCAAGGUGCCCGUGAAGGUUUCACAAAUAAGACUCUCUCCUUUUACUUUUCUCUCCACUUUAUCCCCUUGCUAUACCCAUGAAGGUUCUUAUCACAAAGAUUAUUUCACCUUUAUCUCUCAUCAGCAUUCAUCAACUUACGGUAUCCGAGAGGGUUUUCAUCACUAAGACUCUUUCAUUCUCAUUUUCCUUGUUUGGACCAGAGUGCUGCCCCUGACAUGACUUACCAUCACCUGCUUGACCUGGCAUUUCUCGUAGACUGAUUGGAAGGCCUUUCUUUGGACCGUAACGUGGCUUUUAGAUGGGGUUAGGAUGAAAGGUAUAAAUUCUCAAAACAAUUUCAACAUGGGUUAAAACUUAAAACUUUUGGAAUCCCUUCUCUUAUAACACACCACAAUUUCUGCCCCAGUUUCUUGCUUGGAGACUUUUGGACUUUUAUUUUGGUAUGACUGAACCUCAGAGAGGCUGCCUACGUACCCUUUCGGGAUCAAGUCAAACGUAGUUCACGUCAUAGAAACUACGUUGUUGUGAUUUUCUUUAUGUUUUUCUUUCUUUUUCCUUUCUUUUCUUCAUUUUUCUUUUCCUUUCUUUUCUUUCUUCUCUUUCUUUCUUUUCUUUUCUUUUUUUUCUUUUUCUUUUUCUUUUCUUUUUUUUCUUUUCUUUUCUUUUCCUUUUCUUCCUUUCUUUCUUUUUAUCUUCUUCCUUUUCUUCUUUUCCCUUUUUUCUUUCUUCUUUUUCAUUUCCUUCCUUUUCUUUUCAUUCUUUUUCCAUUUGCUUAUCUUGGGCACUUGCGUUUCUUUGAUUGUGUCGUUGAUUUCGAAAAAGGCGUAUGAAAGAAAAUAAAAAUGGCUCAAAAGGGGUGACGAUGGAAUAAAGUGUUUGGAUAACAGAACAAAACUCCUUCGUCAUUUCAACCCUCGAAAUAUGUAAAGUAGAAACAGGUACAAUCAAAAUACAGAAACCAUACAUAGUAUCUCUUGACUGCAUCGGAAUUGACGGCCAUUUCCAACAUUUUCUUUCUACAUCUAUCUGACAUAAUGUGCCAUUGGGCAGCACUCCUACUCUUAUUACCACGUCCGGCCCCUUGUCAAUUUGGUCGACUUGUUCUUUUUUUUGGAAAUUUCCUUAUGUUUUAAUAGACCCAGUUUCUCAUGGUUCGGGCAUCAAAAAAUCUCAAAACGUCCAAUCUGUUCUUAUUUCCUCAAGUGCCCUCAUUGUUUUCAAAAUGGUUUCAUUGCUCCCCGACCAACAUAGCUUUUAAAAAUCUGACUGAGAAUUAUGCGUGCAUGUCAUGUGACUAGAACCAGUAGGAAAAGACUUGUAGAAAGAAAAGAGAACAAAACAAAAAUGACUAGAAAUGGCAGAAAACAGAGAAUUGUAUUAAACAGACGAUGAAAGGGUUUAACAACAAAACAAGCAACACAAACUGGGUUACAAUCCUAAAACAAACCUAGAUAACACUACUUAAGAUAUGACGACUAUACAAAUAAAAGGAUAGAAGGGUUUGAAUCACAAUACAAUAUCCGGAUUACAACUCUUAAAAUAACCCGGACAACAGAAAUGACAACAAAAUAAAUCACCAUGACUUCUCUCCAGCUGGCCAAGAGAUGAAGCGUCUUUCCAAUUACCAAGCUCGGCAUCUUAGCCUCUAAGUUCUGCAUCAAUAUUGUCAAGAACAUUACCAACUUCGAUAUCAUCAACUUCAAUCAACAAGUUCCCAAGAGGAUUCGCAUGCUCCAUGUCACUGUCAUUAACCACAAUUACCCCUUCUUGAAUCAUUCUUUCUAUUUCCCUUUUCAAAGAACGACAAUCCUCAAUGCUAUGCCCUUGGAUAUUAGAGUGGUACAUGCAUCGUACAGUAGGUCCUGACAACUUUUCACAUUAUGCCCCAGAGCAUUGGUGGUAUUCACACCUUUUAGAUUAGUCAAAGCUUCUCGCACGUCGGUCCACUUGAUUUGGAUGAAUGGGUGCAAUUAUGUUAUGUUAUUUUAUCUUCUCAAAUAAGCUUGCAUAGGGCUCUCCUAUUGGUGUAAAACUAUCUUUCAUCUUUUAUUCCCUUCUAUACCUCUAGCUUGGAUGUGGGUUAUAAGGUAAUAUAAAAUUUUGCGGAGGCGGGUAGAGAUUUUGUGAUACUCGUGCUCGCUUUCUUGGGUGAUUUGAUGGCUGGGCAACAUACUAGGAAAGACCAACAGAAUAUGGGGGGUUCGGAGGUCGAUAUUAAUGCUUUGGGGGGGGGGGCCAUGGAAAACCNNNNNNNNNNNNNNNNNNNNNNNNNNNNNNNNNNNNNNNNNNNNNNNNNNNNNNNNNNNNNNNNNNNNNNNNNNNNNNNNNNNNNNNNNNNNNNNNNNNNNNNNNNNNNNNNNNNNNNNNNNNNNNNNNNNNNNNNNNNNNNNNNNNNNNNNNNNNNNNNNNNNNNNNNNNNNNNNNNNNNNNNNNNNNNNNNNNNNNNNNNNNNNNNNNNNNNNNNNNNNNNNNNNNNNNNNNNNNNNNNNNNNNNNNNNNNNNNNNNNNNNNNNNNNNNNNNNNNNNNNNNNNNNNNNNNNNNNNNNNNNNNNNNNNNNNNNNNNNNNNNNNNNNNNNNNNNNNNNNNNNNNNNNNNNNNNNNNNNNNNNNNNNNNNNNNNNNNNNNNNNNNNNNNNNNNNNNNNNNNNNNNNNNNNNNNNNNNNNNNNNNNNNNNNNNNNNNNNNNNNNNNNNNNNNNNNNNNNNNNNNNNNNNNNNNNNNNNNNNNNNNNNNNNNNNNNNNNNNNNNNNNNNNNNNNNNNNNNNNNNNNNNNNNNNNNNNNNNNNNNNNNNNNNNNNNNNNNNNNNNNNNGAAGGCAACCCUCUUUUGACCUGCCAUUGCUUGUGUGUUUUUCAACCAUUUUUCCAAUCUUUUCACUCCUUGGGCCAUUUAUUCUUGUACUCUCGUUCGGGCUUGCUUAUCGAUGUUUGCAGCAAGAUCAAAUGAAUACAAGUGGUACUCAGGAGCGUGGCACUGUUCUUGAUGUGUAGCAAAUUGUAACUCAUGACAGGGCUCUCCUUGACCAUUGGCCCAUGCUUGAUGUAUUUCAGUCAUUUUCUGUUUCGAUGUUCUAUUUUCUCCAAAACACCAUAGACUCUAGUUGAACCCUCUGAUCCCGAGUCUCUUGAGCACUUGUAACAACUUCGAUGUCAGUUAUCACUUUUCCUCAGAUCUUUUGUUUCUGGUGUUAUAUUUUCCUCAAAUACCGUAGGCUCUAGUUGAACCCUCUGACACUGAGUCUUUUGAGCACUUGUAACAGCUUCGAUGUCGGUUAUCAUUUUUCCUCAGAUUUUGUGUUUCCAGCUUACCAGAACCAACCACCUCAACUUUCUUCACAAUUCAAAACAAAACAUGUUAGAAUGGAUCGGGUCGGUCCUCAUUAUUCACAACAUCUUUUUCCAUUUUUUUAAUUUUUGUUUUUUCAUUUUUUUGUGUUGGUUGUGGUCGAAUCCUAUGUGGAUUGCCUACAUAUCAAGACCCAGCACGAAUCAGACCAGUCGUAGUUCAUACCAAUAAAAGGUAAACGACAAUAAAAUAUUUUUGGAAUUUUCUAUUUUUUAUAAUAACCACAAAAUGUUUUUGGUAUUCACUUGACCACUGACUCUUUUCUUAUUUUUUUCAAAUUAAAAUACAUGACCAUGUAUUGCAAACACGGCCUUCCAACGCCUCGGGGACGAAGAAUUUAAGGCUGUAAGCUAAAAUAAAUGACACGACCUUCCAACUCCUGGGGGACGAAGAUUUUAAGGUAGUGAGGGUCAAAAAUCAAAAUAUGACCAAAGGUGGCUAUUUAUGCAAGGUUAGCCUUCCGACGUUCCGUUUGGGAAAAUUUGACUAUUUUUGACAAAAACGGCUUCACCUGGUUUAUUUAUGACAUAAAUUAAAAUUUUGACAUUUUUUGGGCUAUUUUUGUAAUGGGGAGGUUGGACCUGAUGAGGAUUGCCUACAUAUCUCAUGCCCUGUGAGAAUCAAAUCAUGCGUAGUUCGGGCAAAUAAACUAACUAAAUUUUUUUUAAAACAAAACUUUCUCCAAGAUUUUCUCCAUUAUCUGAUCAAAUCAAAAUGACCAUAUUUUUUCUAUUUUUCAAACAAUUUUUCCCAAGUCACCGAUUUGAAUCCCGAACCGAGAAAAAUUAUGACUCUGUUACAGUAUGCGAACCAGAAAUCCGAGUAAGGAAUUCUAUUAACCUGGGAGAAGGUGUUAGGCAUUCCCGGGUUCCGUGGUUCUAGCUCGGUCGCUUAACUGUUGCAUUUGAUUUUAUCUGAUUUUAAUACAUGCUUAAUUAUGUGCCUUUUAUUUAUAUACUGUUUUAACCAUUAUUUAUUUUAAAAGACUUGCGACAUCGUGAAAACGCGUCUUGACCACGUCGCCAUCAGGGCACCCAUAGUCAUCGAUACAUUUCGACUUCAUCUAGAUUUGGAUUUGGGUUGCAUCAAUGCACACCCUAGUUUAAGAAGAUAUUUCAAUUAAACGCGUCUAAAGAUUCUAGCAUGUUAUUACUUUGGGAAAGACCGUGAAAUUCGCUAAACGACCCUCCCGAAUUCUAAAUAUUUUUAACCUUUAUCGAGGGUCCCGCAAUUGUUUUUGUUUGGCGAGGCUCGUCUCGUUAUUUUGAAAGACAACCUACAAGAUGACUAUAUUUUAUAUUUUUUUAUUUGUCCUUAUAAUUAAAAAAGGGGGGCUAGUUACUCAAUAUUGUUUAGGAAAUAUUACAAAAGCCCUUAAGGUGUUUGGGCUUUGAACUCAUAUAUACCUUUUAACAAAAUGUUUUGACACAUUGGAGUCAUGAAAUAAGCGCAAGCUAGUGGAAUAAUUGAGUCUUGGGCCCAAUCACGAGCCCACUGAAGUAGAGAAGGAAGAUCAGGGGCGUGUUGGUCAGGUCAAUUAAGCCAUAUGUUAUGGCCCUUCCAAUACUUUAGCGGACACUUUCAUCAAACUAAUUUGGUGUUCAAAAUUUGUUAAGGCAGGCAUUUACGCAAGCAAGGAUUUAACGGGCAAACAGAUGAUUGAUAUCCAGGCUCGACUUUCAAAUUUCAAACAAACCAAUUCUUAUAUGCUCUUUCCUAACUAUCAGACAAACUUAAAUGAACAGCUCGGCUAAUAUUCUAUUUAUCAAAGACUAAGAAUCAUCAAAACUGCCCAAUGUCCUAUCAUGUUAUUUUUGAAUGAGUUCAUUAAACUGCUGACAGAUCUUCAACUGAAAUUAACUCAACCUUUUAUACUAACUUAACAUGAAGUUAAUUCACUUUUCAAAGCUCGUAUUCAUUUGAAAUAGAAUGACUAACAGUACAACUAAUUUCAAUAGUCCUGUAUACAACCUGAUUUUCGACCUUAGUUAUGCAAUCCAAAUAUUACAGUAAUAAUGCUAGUCAGUCCCAAUUAUACAGUCCAAAAAUCCAUUAUCAUGAUGACAUUUAAAUACAAAUAAUGAAGUGAAGCUAGGCUGAAUUGAAACUAUGUCAACUAACAGAUACUGUGAAAACUAACUUCACGAUCUAGUUUGAACGAAAACAGAACAAAGAAGACAACGACUAAGGCAAAAACCAUGCUUCCAAUUCACAUACAUUCAUUUCUGCAUACAUCCAACUCACAAUUGUCAUGGAUACAGUUUGUGUACCUGGAAUUUGAAGUUAAGCAGAAGGAGAAGAAGUCAGCAAUAGCAAGGUAGUCAGCAGAACGAAACUCCUGCAAUAAACACAGUUAGUUUCAAUUUCGAAAACUGAAUCAGUGGUCCAAGAAGUUUGAACCAAAUAGGACUAGGAAAUCAGACCCCAAGCAGUACCAAAAUGAAUCAAAUAGACUUGAAAUCAAACCCAAACCACACUAAAAACUUUCAGCAACCCAAGCUCAAUCAAAACCAGUUUAGUUGGACACAAAACCCCUCGAAAAUCAGCCUAGUGAAUAUCUAAAGUAACAGCAACCGAGUACUGAACUAGAAAAGGGUACCUUAGUACACUGAACACUUACCUAAUCUUGAAUCUUGAAAGUAGAGUCUCUUUUUCAAUCAACUGGCAUACCUUGAACCUAGCCCGAAAUUCUUUCUUUACUUUAUCUUAUCAAAUUUCUAGUUUGUGAUCGAGGGCGGCCAAAUAUGAGAUAGGUUGCAGCUAUAGUCAGAACUGAACCUGGCUAAUUUCGUAAUGUUGACCCCACGGAGCGGUAGCGAAGGAGACAGCAAAUGGAUGGAAAUUCUCCACUUUAUGGCUGCCGCCGCUUCUAUCUCCGGCGCUCUGAAUAUCGGGUAUGAUUGUUACUUUCUUGCCUUGCCCCACUCCCACCCACCUCUUCCGAAAAGACAACCUCGAUCAUUCAUUACAUAUGAUAUAUCGAGAGUUCAAGACUAAUUGCAAGUUGAAAUUAGCCUAAAGUAUCUAAUGGAACAGUACAUUUUGGUUUUUGUUGGAGAGUUUUUGUUGUUUAUUUAAUUUUUGUAUGUAUUUUUUUUUUUGUAUUUUCUGUGUAUAUGAAUGCUGAAAAUAAUCUAAGACUAGAAUGAAAGAAGAAAUCCAAUUUUCAUAUGAAAUUUUUAGGCUGAAAAAUGGAAUCCUUUUCACAAGGCAAUGGAUGCCUUUUUAUAGGCAAGAAUGAGGGCAACCCUCGGGUUUUUACUUUUCUUUUUAUCCCUUGCUCAUUUUUCACUUUAAACAUUAAUUUUCUAACUUGCUCCUCAAGUUACUCCCUAAGUUUUACUGAAAUCUACCCUAAAGUCCUAUUCUAGGAGCUUCUAGAAUGCUCUUUUAGCCUCAAAAUACCCUUACUAUCCUUACCCCUUCCUUGAAAUUACUAAUUCUUAAUAUAUUAUCCUUUUCCAUGGCCCAAACUACCCUUGCCAAUUCUUAAAAUUACUGCAACCCUUUCCCCUUUGACCUUUGUCCAAUUUAACCUUGUUAACCUCCUAGAAUUACUAAACCCUUCAUCACUAGAACUAACUAACAGUUAUAACCAAUCAGAAUUACUCUAAAUAUUAGCAAAACAAUUAACAAAUAUCCAACUAAAAUCAAUCCCAACCAUUCCCAAGCAUUGCAUGAGCAUAACUCAAAACAAUCCUAAUUAAAACUACUGAUUAACCAUCUAAGAACUUUCAGCAACUAAGAAAGCAAUAAAUUAAUAACCAGGAAAACUAAAACAGAAUCGAAACUAUCAGGAUGAAACUCAGAUGCAAGAAGAAAGAUUGAAUGCAAUUAACCACUAAACUUCAAUUAACCCCAAAUUAAAUUUUCAUGCAGACUACUUACUGAUUACUAAUCAAACUUAAACUACAGCUAAUCAAAUUGACUAAACAAAACAAACCAAAGCCAAAUUAAUAGAUACUAACCAAGCAGCAAUUGAUAUAUGCAUGAUUAGACUAACAUAUUCUAAACAGAAAUUGAAAACAUAAAUAAGAAGACUUAAUAUGAAGAUCAAUUGAAAUAGAAACAAUCCCCGAACAAGCCAGACGAGACGACCUGGAUGUGGAAUUGAGGGUGGUCCAGUGAGAUUCGAGGGCUUCUUGCUGGGAUUCCAGAUAAGGGAGCCAUGGGGACUAUGAGGUGUGAAUUUGAGCCGAUUUGGAUGAAAUUAUAUUUUGACCGGACUUUUCGAAUUAAGAUUCGACCACUUGAGUGAUGAUUCGAAGAAAAUAGUUAGUAUGGUUGGAAAGAGGAGAGUGAGUAGAGUGGGUGGUGUUAGUUUGGUGGUGAUUGGAAGCGGGGCGGCCACCCUAGGGCGGUGGAAUUUGGUGGGGGUGGUCUCUAGGCUUUUGAGAGAGGAGUGGGGUGUGAGGACGAUGACUGAANNNN